rnacentral:piRNA from 1 species
UAAUCAAAACACACUAUGUGGGGCUGGAGA